AAUUGAAACAUUUAAAAACCUGCUUUUCAAUCCCAGUUAUUCCAGAAAAGUUACUAUUUUUAUAGUUCAUUCAGGAUUAAAUAAAAAAUGCUCAGAAAGCAUCAGAAGGCCCCUCUUAAAUUACUAACAAUAAACCAUUGGCUUUUUCAGGCAAUUGCUAACUUUUACCCAGGAAAGGGGGAAGAACAAGACUGGAGACACAAAUGUGAUUUGUUCUGGGAUGGAGAGGAUGAAUUUCUGCAAAAGCUCUCUUUUAUCUUUGAAGCAGACCCAGCGGAGAUCUACACAUUUCACCAUUUGAGACGCUUUUUGGACAUUCCCCUAAACAGGCUAAGUCUUUUUCUUCUUUUUCUCCUGCAUACACAUCAUUACUGGGGGGGAGUGGGGAGGGAGGAGACACUUCUAUUCCUUAAUAUAUACAGGACUUACAGACCAAAUUGUGAGAACUCCAUGAAUCCAGACCUGUUGUACAAGCAAGACCUAUAGAUAUCUUCUUGCUCCAUGACCUACAUCCAGAAGACAAGGUAUAUAUAAAGAACUUCCAGUGCCCUGGAGGAACGCAGCCUUCCUGGGAAGGUCUAUUGCAAGUCCUGCUAACCACUCCAACAGCUAUCAAACUUUGAGAAAAGGACUCUUGGAUUCAUUGCUCACAUGUAAAAUGGGCAUUUUCUAUCAACACUGAUUAAUUGUAUCCUGUAAUGCAAUUAAAAAAUGUUUUACUCCUCCUAUUGUAUAAUUAGAAUCUGUUACUCUAAAAACUAUGUUUCCCAGCAAAACUACAAUCUCUCGCAAAACUAUGAUUCCCAGAACCCUAACCCAACUCACUUCCUGUUGUUACGUGCUGAUGUAGACAGGACAUACAUUGAGUGGAGGUUCUUCUCUCUCUCUUUCCUUCCUGUCACAGCUUUGGUGGAGUGGGGACUUUUUGAGUAGGUAGAAAAACUUAGUCAUGUGGUUCUAUUUUGUUAGCUAAUAAAUUUUAUAAAAUACAAUAUUUGAAGUAUUAC
rnacentral:lncRNA from 1 species